rnacentral:rRNA from 1 species
AGGACGAACGCUGGCGGCGUGCUUAACACAUGCAAGUCGAGCGGAAAGGCCCUUCGGGGUACUCGAGCGGCGAACGGGUGAGUAACACGUGGGCAACCUGCCCUUAGCUCUGGGAUAGCUCCGGGAAACCGGAAUUAAAUACCGGAUAUGACCUAGGCCGACAUCGGCCGUGGUGGAAAGUUUUUCGGCUAGGGAUGGACUCGCGGCCUAUCAGCUAGUUGGUGGGGUAAUGGCCUACCAAGGCGACGACGGGU